rnacentral:misc_RNA from 1 species
GAUAGAACGUAGCGAAAUGCGAUAAGUAAUGUGAAUUGCAGAAUUCAGUGAAUCAUCGAAUCUUUGAACGCACAUUGCGCCCAUCAGUAUUCUGUUGGGCAUGCCUGUCCGAGCGUCAUUUCAACCCUCAGGGCCCGUUCGCGGGAACUGGUGUUGGGGAUCGGCCUCCCCCCGGAGGCCGGCCCCGAAAUGCAGUGGCGGCUCUACCGCGAUCUCCUCUGUGUAGUAGCGAUACCUCGCAGCUGGAUAGUGGUGGUGCCACGCCGUAAAAUCCCAACUUUACCAAGGUUGACCUCGGAUCAGGUAGGAAUACCCGCUGAACUUAAGCAUAUCGAUAAGCGGAGGA